AACAUCUCAAAGAAAAAGAAAAAAGAGAAAAAAAAACUCUCACCUGGUAGCAAAAUCAUCUGCCGGGAUGCGCUUCGCCGUCCCGCUCGUCCGGAAGGCGGCGACCUCAGCCUCGGCCUCAGGGCCGGCGACGACGACCUCGCUGAAGGUGGGCGACGCGCUGCGGUCGGGCCGGCGGCGGUUCACGGAGGCCGACGUGGCGGCGUACGCGGCGGUGAGCGGCGACCGGAACCCGGUGCACCUGGACGACGCCUUCGCCCGCGGGGCCGGCGGGUUCGCGCGCGGCCGCGUUGUCCACGGCAUGCUCGCCGCCUCCCUCUUCCCUGCCCUCAUCGCUUCUCGCUUCCCCGGAGCCGUGUACGCGAGCCAGUCGCUCAGGUUCGCCGCGCCGGUGUACGUCGGCGACGAGGCGGCCGCGGAGGUGCGGGCGCUCAACAUCAAAUCCGCCGGCGGGAGGCACAUAGUCAAGUUCGCCACCAAGUGCUUCGCCAACGGCCAUGAAGAUGGCGAGGAGACUCUCGCCAUUGAUGGCGAGGCCAUGGUGUUCCUGCCCACGCUGCAGCUCGGCUCGGAGGCCAUUGCGGAGUAACAAGCACGGCGUGCAGUUUACCAGAAGGAAAAAAAAAAAGGGUACAGUAUGCUGGUGCGUCCGUACGAACUAUGGCACGAGCUUUGGCAGCGUAAGCGGCCCGUGGAGGCUUGCGAGGGUAUCGGCGGCGAGGCACAAGAAGCGCAGCGCUCAUCUCGGGAUUGUCGGACAGUAGGGCUUAGCCUUUGGCAGCGGAAACAGCUCAUGGAGGCUUGCGGGGAUACGGGCAGCAAGGCACAAGCAGCGCAGUGCUCGUUUCGGGAUGGAUGGCCAGUAGGGCUCGGCGACGAACAGGUAUCCUUCCAGUGAGGUUGUUCCCGUCCAACUUUAGAGCAAUCAGCUUAACAAGAUUGCCAAUAUUAUCAGGGAUUUGGCCUGAGAGUCUGUUAUGUGCCAAGGUUAGAUCGACCAAGCUGUUCAAGUUCCU